rnacentral:lncRNA from 1 species
UUUGAAUUAAAUAUAGAUAUUGAUCAAAUUGAUUGAAUAAUCAAUUUUAAAUCCAUUUAUAAUGAUAAGAAGUAGAAAUACCAGAUCAUAUUGAUCAACCUAUCUUGAUAAACGAUACUUAGAAUUACUGGAUGGUUUGUACCACAUUUAAUACUAUAUAAUCAUAAAAGAAGGCAAAUAACACUACAAGAAAUAAGACCUUGUAUGGCGGUCUUUAGAUGGCGGAUUUCCGCCAUUAAAACCCCUAAUCCGCCAUCUAAAGACCGCCAUCUUGGACACCGCCAUUAAAACCCCUAAACCGCCAUCUAAAGACCGCCAUCUAUUAUCCAUCCCCAUUUCCCACCAAAAAUUGUAUAGAUGGCGGAUUUCCGCCAUCUAAUCUGAAAAUUUUCGCGCGAACUGAAAAGUUUUAGAUGGCGGAAAUCCGCCAUCUAAAAUAUGGCGCGGGAAUAGUUUGGCGUCAAUUCAUUGAUGGCGGUUAAUUUCAUUGAUGGCGG